rfam:Oryza glumipatula chromosome 3, whole genome shotgun sequence.
AAUAAGUGUACUUUUACAUUAUACAAGUUCAACGUUUAACCGUUCAUCUUAUUUAAAAUUUUUUUAUGAUUAGUAUUAUAUUGUUACUAGAUGAUAAAACAUGAAUAGUAUUUUAUGUGUGAUUAAAUAUUUUUAAAUUUUUCACAAAUUUUUUAAAUAAGACGAACGGUUAAGUGUUGGGCACGGAUAUCUACGGCUGUACUUAUU